UACGGGGGGGGCAAGCGUUGUUCGGAAUUACUGGGCGUAAAGGGCUCGUAGGCGGCCAACUAAGUCAGACGUGAAAUCCCUCGGCUUAACCGGGGAACUGCGUCUGAUACUGGAUGGCUUGAGGUUGGGAGAGGGAUGCGGAAUUCCAGGUGUAGCGGUGAAAUGCGUAGAGAUCCGGCAGAAGACCGGUGGCGAAGGCGGCCCCCUGGGCAGUAACUGACACUGAGGCGCGACAGCGUGGGGAGCAAACAGG
rnacentral:rRNA from 1 species